AAUAAAUAUGAGUGGGUGGAGCUACAUGUGAAGACAUCAGAGACAAAUACACAACACUAGCAUUUAUUUCUAAAGCUAGAGGUCUGAAGAAAACACUCAGGCUAACAAUGGUACGGCUCUUCUUGUUUUUCUUCACUAUUGCUGAUAUUGCAGAGGCUGCUGACAACAGCAUUACACCAGAUCAAACCAGCAUGUCUGUAAUUGAAGGCAGCAACAUCACACUUUCCUGCACAUAUACUGGAUCUGUUUACAGUCUCCACUGGUAUCGACAACAACCUGGAUCAAGACCAGAGUUUCUGCUUCUGAUUGAUGAAACCAGUGAACAUGUCACACAGGCUCAACCACCUCAUCCACAACUGUCAACAAAACUUGAUAAAAAGAAUACGAAAGUGGAUCUGCUCAUCUCCUCUGUUACAGUGACAGACUCUGCACUGUACUACUGCGCUCUGAUGCCCACAGUGACAGGAAACCCAACUACACUGUACAAAAAGUACUACACCUGUCUGGAGUCAGGCUUUUCUCACAAGAUGGAGCUAUUUACAUCUUUACCCCUUUCAUGCUCAAGCAACUGUCCAUGAUGUCAGUUCGCUUUUGAAGCUCAACCACUAUUUGUGUAAUCUGCUAAUGUUUAUUUCUGAGUUAAUCAUCCUUACCAUUGGCAUCUUAAAAUGCUAAUAACUGGUUAAAAAUACACCUGUUUAUUUAAUUAACAAUAGCUUUGUGGAAAAUAAAUUCAUGACCCACCCAGUGUGUAUUCCAGCUUCUUGCCCAGUGUUCCUUGGAUAGGCUUGAAAUCCACUGUGACCCUGACCAUGAUAAUGUGCCCACUAAAGAUGAAUAAAUGUAUGUGCGUAGGCAUAUAGAGACAGUUAUGUACAGGCUCUGUUUUUGUGAAAUUAUGU